AUGCUUGGUCGAGAUGAUUGUCUUUUGGAUUCAUAUAUGUCAAGUGGCACGCGACAGCAGAACCAUAUCUCCUACAGAAAAUUCCUAACAAUAAAAUUACUAAAUCAAACAGUCAUGUUGUACAGCUGCGUAUUCUACUACACACAUAGCUAAGAUAGUCGCAUAUAUGAUAGUCACAUUUACGAUAUACUGACGUACGCAGCUCGGGUACCUGGCCGACUCCAUGCUUUAUGAAAAUCAAAUAUGAAAACAAUUAGGACCGUAAUCGUCAUUUCAAACAAGCUAAACGCGGAUGACUAAUGGAGUCUAAAUUUCUUUCAACAAUACGAUAUUCAACCAGGUGGACGCGUGUACGGAGUCCUUGGAUUUUGUAGGAUGUUUCGCACUGCCUCCUUUUAUUUCCUGUGGGACUUUGCAUCCGUUUCUUCGUCCCGUUCUUCAUGCUGCGAAUGCAUAUGAUCCCUCUGUAACUUCCGGUCUAAAAACAUUUUGGAUACUCUUUUGAGAGAUUUAUGCAAGAUUUUCAAAGUCACGUGUUGAUUAAACAAUGGAUAUUAAUCCCUAAAACCCAUUGUUUGAUAACGUGAUACUUUUGGCAGUUUUUCUGGUGCCAAUAAACACGUUUUCUUUGGCUGACACAAUUCCCAGUACAAUUCCAAGACUAUUGCAAUUACAGUCAACAAAGUUGGUACCACUUCCUGGAGACACCGUGAUCCCUGCUUCUAUUGACAGAGCCUGGGAUCUCAAGUAAAUUCUUCUCCUGGCAAUCCCUUAAGUGUGGAACUUGAAAAAUGACAAAUAGCCAUAAGAAGCCUGUACUGGAUAAAUUACAAGAGGAAUUAGUACUCCCAAUUAUGAUCAGUCUCCUUGCAGAGGAAGUACUUACUCUAGAUGAACGUUUCACCCUGUGUAACUGAACUGGACUUGUAACCCAUGAUCAAGGUUCAGGUUUGUUUGUAGAACUACCCCUAGAAUAUAGGGUCAAUAUUGAUUUCCAGUUGAGGAGAGAAAAGUACCUAGGGAUAAAGUCAAAGAUAGCCAAGAGUAGAAGGCAUUUGAAGGAAACACGAGCGCCAGGAGAACCAGUACUCUCUUUAAUCUCAUAAUCUGGAAAAAGGGUCAGGGAAUACAGGUCGACUCAACAAGGAAUGGUGGAUAGUCAUUUAUAUGGAAAUAUUCCUGGGAUAUAGAAGGCGUCUAUGACACCAUACGUGAUGGAAUUGACGUACGCACCUAUCCAUCCAUACAUGGGUUACCUAGAAACAUGAAAUUAAAAGGAAUGUCAGGAGGAUUACGGAUAUUGAAUAUUUUCGGAAUACUUUUCGGUUGAAUUCCCUUCAAGAGGGGCUUUUAAUUUGACUUUAUG